GGAGGGUUCGCAUAACGGCUAUUGCACCGGUCUCGAAAACCGGAGCCCUAAAAAGGCUUGCAGGUUCGAAUCCUGCACCCUCCGCCA
rnacentral:tRNA from 1 species